rnacentral:rRNA from 1 species
GACGAACGCUGGCGGCGUGCUUAACACAUGCAAGUCGAGCGGUAAGGCCCUUUCGGGGGUACACGAGCGGCGAACGGGUGAGUAACACGUGGGUGACCUGCCUCUAGCUCUGGGAUAAGCCUGGGAAGCUGGGUCUAAUACCGGAUAUGACCUCGCGGUGCAUGUUGCGGGGUGGAAAGCCUUGUGCGGCUAGGGGAUGGGCCCGCGGCCUAUCAGCUUGUUGGUGGGGUGANGGCCUACCAAGGCGACGACGGGUAGCCGGCCUGAGAGGGCGACCGGCCACACUGGGACUGAGACACGGCCCAGACUCCUACGGGAGGCAGCAGUGGGGAAUCUUGCGCAAUGGGCGAAAGCCCUGACGCAGCGACGCCGCGUGAGGGAUGACGGCCU